rnacentral:rRNA from 1 species
GGAAUUUUGGGCAAUGGGCGAAAGCCUGACCCAGCAACGCCGCGUGAAGGAUGAAAUCCCUCGGGAUGUAAACUUCGCAAGAACGGGAAGAAUAAGUAAGAGCUAACAUCUCUUACGAUGACGGUACUGUUUGUAAGCUCCGGCUAACUCCGUGCCAGCAGCCGCGGUAAUACGGGGGGAGCAAGCGUUGUUCGGAUUUACUGGGCGUAAAGCGCGCGUAGGUGGUUCGUUAAGUUGGAUGUGAAAGCCCCGGGCUCAACCUGGGAACUGCAUUCAAAACUGUCGAGCUAGAGUACGGUAGAGGGUGGUGGAAUUUCCUGUGUAGCGGUGAAAUGCGUAGAUAUAGGAAGGAACACCAGUGGCGAAGGCGACCACCUGGACUGAUACUGACACUGAGGUGCGAAAGCGUGGGGAGCAAAC